CUCGUAGCUUGCUAUGAGAACAAUUAGUGGCAGACGGGUGAGUAACGCAUAGGAAUCUACCUAGUAGUAUAGGAUAGCCACUAGAAGUGGUGGGUAAUACUGUAUAAUCCCUGCGGGGGAAAGAUUUAUCGCUACAUGAUGAGCCUAUGUUAGAUUAGCUAGUUGGUGGGGUAAUGGCCUACCAAGGCAGUGAUCUAUAGCUGGUCUGAGAGGAUGAUCAGCCACACUGGAACUGAGACACGGUCCAGACUCCUACGGGAGGCAGCAGUGGGGAAUAUUGGACAAUGGGCGCAAGCCUGAUCCAGCUAUGCCGCGUGAGUGAGGAAGGCCUUAGGGUUGUAAAACUCUUUCAGUGGGGAAGAUAAUGACGGUACCCACAGAAGAAGUCCCGGCAAACUCCGUGCCAGCAGCCGCGGUAAUACGGAGGGGGCAAGCGUUGUUCGGAAUUAUUGGGCGUAAAGGGCAUGUAGGUGGUUUGGUAAGUUAAAGGUGAAAUGCCAGGGCUUAACCCUGGAGCUGCUUUUAAUACUGCCAGACUGGAGUCCGGGAGA
rnacentral:rRNA from 1 species